UACCAGCACCCCGAGUGGUCGGGACGAUUAUUGGGCCUAAAGCAUCCGUAGCCGGUUCUACAAGUCUUCCGUUAAAUCCAACUGCUUAACAGUUGGGCUGCGGAGGAUACUAUAGAGCUAGGAGGCGGGAGAGGCAAGCGGUACUUAGUGGGUAGGGGUAAAAUCCGUUGAUCCACUGAAGACCACCAGUGGCGAAGGCGGCUUGCCAGAACGCGCUCGACGGUGAGGGAUGCAAGCUGGGGGAGCAAACCGGAUUAGAAACCCCCGUAGUCC
rnacentral:rRNA from 1 species